rnacentral:lncRNA from 1 species
AGGCUCUCCUGGAUUCUGUUCAGCGUGGUGCGUAAUCUGCUACUACUGAGGCCCAAUCCUGUCGAUUCAAACGUGUCAUUUCGGCCAAAAAAUGUAUAGACUGCAUACAGAUAGUAGUCGAAGAGCUGGGACAUGAAGUGGAUGACAUCAAAUGCAAUUGGCUUGAGAAUGUUCAUCAUCUGCAUAUACUUCCCAACAAGCCUUACUACAUUGAGUGUAGUGUUUGUCAGGAUAGGUGCAUUCCCCUUAUUGAGGCUAUAAUCCGAUUUCUUUCUGCUC